CGGGGAUCAUUUCUGGGACCUAUAAUGAAGCUCAGUGAGAGAGGAUUGAAGUUAUCAGGAAAGAUAGUCUACGCCAUUCUCACUAGAAGCAUCGUUUCUGUCAAGGAGAAUGAAGCCUGGUUCCAUUUCGGUGCGCAGCCAAUGAGGUUCUCUAUAAGAGAAUUUCAUAUGAUGACAGGCUUGAAAUGUAGUGGUGCAUUAGAAAGACCACGAAGGGAACCCGAGAGGUUUAAUUGGGAAUUGCUAAAGGGGCGUAGUCAUAAGUUAAGUGACGUGGUGGACCAGCUCAGAAACACAAGAGAAGAUGCUUCUGAGGAGAGAGUAUGCCUCGCAAUGCUCAUCCUGGUAGAGAGCAUAUUAUUGCGGAAGAGCAAAGGAGGGAGUUUUCCUUUGGAAUAUGCGAAAAAUGCACAGGAUAUGACAUAUCCAUGGGGAAAAGAGGCUUACAUUGUGCUCCUGAAGUCAAUUCAAAACGCUGUGGCGAAUCAUUUGGAGAAUAAAUCCAAAUUUGAGUUGCAAGGUUAUCCUCUAGUAUUCCUUCUUUGGAUACUAGAGUCGAUUCCUUUGCUAAGGAAUAAGUUCAGUAAGUGUGUACCAACAGUUGAGGUUCCUGGGCCGACUUACUUGUGUGAAAAAUACACUGAGAUAGAGAAUCCAUCACUUGAUAGGGUUUUACAGGUUGAAGCUGAUACAAAGCUGAAGGUCCAUUGCAUACUACCUUCUAUUCCUCAUGAUCCAGAAGAUGAUAUCUCCAUUGAAGACAAAUAUAGUGACGAGUUGGAAACAGUGAAAGAUGUAACAAAGAAAGGGUACAAGAUUACAGCCGAUGACUGGGAAAAUAGGUGUGUAGACACAUUUGACACAUUGGAUGCUCUUAUUCAAAUGAUGGCAAAUAAGGAGACUGGCCAAGCCUCUACUCCGAUUGAUGAGGAUUCAGUAAAUGAAAAAGUGAACAGGAUCAUCACGGUAAUGGAGGAGAAUCUGAAGAGCAUGAAGGAUCGAAUGUCAUUACUGGAAGAAGAAAACAUACAUCUUAGAGCUCGUGUGUCAGAGUUGGAAGGAAACAGCAAUGUUUUUCCCACUAACGUGACACAAAAGCGAUCCAGUGGGACAUCUUUAUCUCCAAUGUCUCACACGCAACCAUCCAGUGGGACACCUUUAUCUCCAAUGUCUCACACGCAACCAUCGAGUGAGACACCUUUAUCUCCAAUGUCUCAACAGCCUAAUUUGACACAUGAGGAGACAAUGAUUGAAUCAGCUGCAUCUCCAAAGUCUCAACAAAAUGAGGAUUACACGCAAUCAUCGAGUGAGACGCCUUUAUCUCCAAUGUCUCAACAGCCUAAUUUGACAAAUGAGGACACAAUGAAUGAAUCAGAUGAUGAAACUCCUGCCCUUGAUACUCAAGUAUUCUCUCCUAAUCUGACAAAAGAGGUAUAUGCUCAAUGAUAUUGUUUUCACAGUUGGAGUUUACAAAUUAGUUUUGGGUGAUUUUUUUUUACAUAUAAAGGCUUUUCUGAUUUUUGACAGAAAGAAACAGAAACGUCUACCGAUGAGAGGCCAUCCAAUCCUAAUCAAGAUGGAAAACCAGAUGAUGAGAUUGUGAGAGAGAAAUUAACAAGUGAGUCACCUGCUAGUCAGAGUCAAGUUUUGCAGAAAGAAACAGUAGAAAUGAAUGAGACACCUUCUUCUCCAAUAGCUCCAAAGAGUAUUGAAACUCCCGUUUAUACUCCAAGUCAGACUCAGCAGAUUGAGAGAGAGCCAUCGGAUGACACGCCUGCCCUUGAUACUCAAGUUUAUACUCCUAAUCUGACAAAAGAGGUAUAUGCUCAAUGACAGUUGGAGUUUACAAUUAGUUUUGGGUGAUUUACAUAUAUAGACCUUUCUAAUUUUGGCAGAGGGAAACACAAACCUCUACUGAUAAAACGACACCCAAAACUAAUCAAGGAGAAGGAAAACCAGAUGAUGAGGUAAUAUUUACUCUAGAAAUUAUAAUUGAAUGUAUUCAUGAUGGCCUUUCCUGAUAUUUUUUGCAGAUUGUGAUUGAGUCACCUGCUGCUCAGACUCAAGUUUUGCAAAAAGAAACACUGGAAAUGAAUGAGACACCUUCUUCUCCAAUAUCUCCAAAGAGUAUUGAGGCUCAAGUUUUUACUCCAAUUCAGAAACAGCAGACGGUAACAGAGGAAACGUAUGAGGCUACACAGCCAUUGACUGAGAUCAUUUCAGCAAACAAUAAAAAGGAGGAUACACAUGCUGUGCAUUACAGACCUUCCUCUCCAUUGUCUUCACUAAUUGCACUAGUUAUUGAAGAAAAUAAGAAUGCUUUGGUAAGAAGAAAUAUUUAAA